GAUGAACGCUGGCGGCGUGCCUAAUACAUGCAAGUCGAGCGAAUGGAUUAAGAGCUUGCUCUUAUGAAGUUAGCGGCGGACGGGUGAGUAACACGUGGGUAACCUGCCCAUAAGACUGGGAUAAAUCCGGGAAACCGGGGCAAAUACCUGAUAACAUUUUGAACCGCAUGGUUCGAAAUUGAAAGGCGGCGUCGGCUGUCACUUAUGGAUGGACCCGCGUCGCAUUAGCCAGUUGGUGAGGUAACGGCUCACCAAGGCAACGAUGCGUAGCAGACCUGAGAGGGUGAUCGGCCACACUGGUACUGAGACACGGCCCAGACUCCUACGGGAGGCAGCAGUAGGGAAUCUUCCGCAAUGGACGAAAGUCUGACGGAGCAACGCCGCGUGAGUGAUGAAGGCUUUCGGGUCGUAAAACUCUGUUGUUAGGGAAGAACAAGUGCUAGUUGAAUAAGCUGGCACCUUGACGGUACCUAACCAGAAAGCCACGGCUAACUACGUGCCAGCAGCCGCCGUAA
rnacentral:rRNA from 1 species